AUGACCACGCAGCCGCAGCGGCAGAGAACCCGAAUCCCUAGCCAGCAAGCUCAGGCAGCCAUGGAUCCAUGGAUGCUGGCCACCGGAAUCUCUCGUCACUUCACAUCUUGCAUCGCGCAGACAGGGGGCAUCAGCCUGCAGCGAGAGGAUCGGCAACAUCCGCGCGGCCGCGGCGUCGUGCCGGCCCACUGCUCGCAAAGGACAGGAGCCCAUGCACGGCUGCACAUGCACAGAAGCAGGCAAACUGUUUGGCCUGCCCAGGUUUUUCUUUCAAGCUCUGCCACUGCCGAAGACCACGGUGGGAGAAGUUUUACAGGAGCCUCGUCACCAACAGCGUCUGCAACGUCUCGGAGGGGACAAGAAUAUCGCCUGACAUUUUUCUCAAUGGAUGGCUACUGA
rnacentral:rRNA from 1 species